rnacentral:rRNA from 1 species
UACCAGCACCCCGAGUGGUCGGGACGUUUAUUGGGCCUAAAGCAUCCGUAGCCGGUUCUACAAGUCUUCCGUUAAAUCCACCUGCUUAACAGAUGGGCUGCGGAAGAUACUAUGGAGCUAGGAGGCGGGAGAGGCAAGCGGUACUCGAUGGGUAGGGGUAAAAUCCGUUGAUCCAUUGAAGACCACCAGUGGCGAAGGCGGCUCACUGGCACAUAUCUGACGCUCAGGCGCGACAGCGUGGGGAUCAAACAGG